AUCUGGCUGGCUCAGUCAGUAGAGCAUGUGACUCUUGAUCUCAGGGUCGUGAGUUCCAGCCUCAUGUCUGGUG
rnacentral:tRNA from 1 species